rnacentral:lncRNA from 1 species
UCGGGUGUCACUAAGUUAUGAGCAAAAUACAAUAACUAUUUGAAAUAAACAAGACUACAGAGUCUGAGAGUAGCCAACAAAUACACUAAGAGGAAGAUAAGGAAGGAGAAGGCGGGACUACGAUCUCCAGGCAGCUACCUCGCUAUCUCCAAGGAAAAAGUCCACCACUGAAAUGAUCAAUAACCGCUACCGUGACCCGAGAUACCUGGAUCUACACACAAGGUGCAGAGGGUAACGUAGUACACCAACUCAGUAAGUAACAAUUCCAAACUAUGGACUGACAGGUAAUAACGAACCAAACCUCAACAGAUAAUAUCAUUAAAUUGUACAGAAAAGUAGACAUGCUUGCACUUCAAGUAAAAAUUCAACAAUAAAUAAAUGAAGCAUAAACGAUACGGAGUAUAAAGCUCAGGAAUCUCUAUGUACCAAUGCGUAGAUAGCAUGAUCAAUGUUUCGUGUACCUCCACUCAUAAGUGCUUAACCACUUGGUACUAUAUAUGGCCAUCCGGCCCAGGGAAGAUCCAUCCCGGAAUAUAUAUAUCACUGAUCGUAGUCAUCCAGUACCAAGGAAAGCUAUUCUAUCCCUGUGGAGAAGAUCCAUCUCCAGGUAUAAAUACUUCGGACAAUAUCCAUGUCCAAGGAAGAUCCAUCCCUCAAUAUCAUCAACUGCGCUCACUAGGGGUGUGUUACAGACUCCGGAGGUGCUCCUACAGCCUAAGAUCUAUCAUAAUCAUCAACAUAACUGCUCCGGCGUGUAGCCCGAUCCCAUAUACAGUCACUCACAACCAGGCUCUUGGCCUCAGUCACUCAUCACUCUCCAGUCUCGCACACACGGGCUCAUAAUGUAAUGAUACUAGCCUGAAUAAUGAUAUGAUGUGCCAUAUAACAAUAAUCAAGACUGAGGCAUGAUAUAUAAUGCAUAAACAGGACUGAGUAUAGAAUAUCAAUGAAGAUAAUGAUAUGACAUCAAGAAACGACAUCUCGGGUCUCAAUUGUAUUGGCAUGAAGCCCUAACACGAUAUCUAGCAUGUUUUCACAGCACAUUUACUUAUUCACAUGAUAGAAAUACGGAUAUAAACAAGAAAGAGUUAAUAAGCAGUGCCAUGGAAUGAUCCAGGGCACAAUUCUCAUGGUGCAUGCCCACACACCCAUCGUUGCCAUUCGCAUCACCUCAAUAGAAAUCAUAGAACACAUAGUUCGGUGUUUCGAACCCUCAGAACCAAGUUUGGAAGCGUUACUUACCUCAAGCCAGGCCAAACUCUAGCCUGCGAUGCCCUUGCCUCUCGAUCGGCUUCCAAAUGCCCCAAAUCUAACCAAAAUAAUUAUAUUAUCAUCAAUAUACGCUAAAGGAAUGAAACCUAUACGAAAAUUAUCAAUUUAACUCAAAAAUCCCGAAAUUGACCAAACUAGACUCUGGGGCCCACGUCACGGAAUCGAAUAAAAUCAUAAAACAGAAAAACCCAUUAUCUCACGAGUACCUAUAUAAAAUUCAUCAAAAUCCGACGUCAAAAGGUCAUCCAAAUCCCAAAAAUCCAUUCUCCAAUUUUUCUGUUAUUUCCCCAAUUUUUACCCCAAAUUCUCAAAUUAAAUGAUAAGAUUCAAGACAUAAUUAUGGAAUUUAGCCCAAAACAAGUGAAGAACAUUUACCCCAAUCACUCCUUUGAAAAUCCUCUCUAAAUUCACCUUCUCCCAAGCUCUCUAAUGAGUUUUUGAAAAUAUGAACUCAACUCUCAUUUUUUGAACUUAAAGAUUCUGCCCAGACACUUCCUUCUUCGCGAACGCGGUCAAAGCCUCGCGUUCCUGAAGAACAAAAAUUACUGCCCAAUUAUUCCUCUUUUGCGAACGUUGUUACACCUCCUUUUUACACCUGAAAGAGAAUAUAAGGGAGUUUUUCCAAUUAAAAUUACAUAAAUCGAAAUGAGAUUAUUUUAUUUAAUUUCAGAAUUGCCACUUGGAAUAAUUUAGGGUGUCCCAAGUCACCGGCGUAUUUUAAAUCCCAAAUCGAGGAAAUUGACUUUACUUAAAAGUUUGCGAAACCAAAAAUCUUAGGUAAGGAAUUCUAUUAACCCGGGAGAAGGUGUUAGGUAUUCCCGGGUUCUGUGGUUCGAGCACGGUCACUUAACUAUUUAAUUGGCCUAAUUAUGUGAUUUAUUACAUAUUUUAAACUUAUUGUACAUUUUUUAACUUUAUAACCGCUUUUAUUUAUUUACGGGAUUUGUUGAACAAGGCGCGAUUGUCGCACACUUGUUUGUUUGUGUAAACAUUGUGAAUCGUGUCACGGGAACCGGACCCACAAUCUACAACAUGCUUAUUUUAUUAUUGUUUGAAGUUAUGGUCGGGUCACAUGAAAUGCACACCCGAAUUGGGAUUUACGUAUCGUGACUAUGCCACGGGAACCGUACCCAUAGCCACGAUGAUUUAAAAUUAAUCGUGCCUAAAGAAAGCUACAAUAAUUAUUAUUAUCUACUUCUAAGUUGGCGAUUUGAGCCUCUCGUAAGUUCUAUCACUAUGGUUAUGAGACGUAUUGGCAAGAAAAAUGUUCAGUUACAUUAUCUGAAACCAAAGCAAUCAAGAUAAAGGCAUUUUGUUUUGAUAGGCUCAGGUAAAUUGGUCUCUUUUCCUCGGCCAAGGUACAUGUGUUACGCUCUAAAGUGAUUUUAAUCUGCUUCUAUUAGAUGAAGCAAACUUAUCAUCACUGACUACAACUUUCAUGGACAACGAGAAAGAAAUGUUAAGAAUGAACUUCUACUUUGGAAUGAUGCAUUCUACUAACUUUAUUAUCUAUGUUCUUAUAAGAGUUCCUUAUUUUAGCAAAAUUUACAACAACAAAAAAAUACAAAGUAAAAAUAAAAAUAAAAGAGCUUCAAGUUUUAGAGUAAAUACUGAACUAAAAUCUGAAUUAAUUAGUACACAAAUGACUACUUUCAAUGCCUAUGAAGUUUUAAUUGAGCUAGGCACUAACAAAUUCCUAAAUUCCAUACCAACAGUGAUGGUAUUUCACCUCCGAGCCAUAGAUCUGCUAGAACACCUCCAUAUAUAUAAGAAAUCCAUCAUAAGUUAACAAACAAUCCAAACCUUAACAAAUACGUACUUCUCGUUCAAACCAUAGAAUUGCCUUUUCAUGAUUGUUUCUUAUUAUUACUCAAAUUUUCAUUAUGGUUUUAGAUAUUCAUCACAUCGAACACUUCAAAACCAAACCCAAGCAUGCAGUCAGAAAUGAAAGAGCACCCAGUACACAUGUCAAUGAACAGCAAUUGAGAUUUCAUAUCAAUGGGGCAUCCAAAUAGCAAUUACAUUAUUUGAGACCAAAAGCACAUACCUUAACAGCAGUAGUGCAACUUAUAAUAGCCAAGUAAGGAAUAUAUUCAGCAAAUUAGGGUUCAGCUACCCACAUAAUAGCAAAAUCAACCGGCAAAUGAGACUCUCACAGCUCAAUUAAACUUCAAAGUUUCCAGAAAAUAUCCAGUAGAGGAACCGUGAGAGAAUUAAUGAGCAUUGUCUGUGUGAGUGUGUAUUUAUGAUCUCUUUGUGGAGAGUGAGGCGUGUAUCUAUAUUAGGAAAAAGGGGGUUUGUUCUUGGUGGUGAUGAAAAUGGAGAAGCCCUGAAAUUCCCAGAUGCGUCGUUGCUCUUUUUCUAAGGGUGAGGUCUUCUAAUUAUUGUUCCCUAGGUUUUCUAAUGUCUC